GGAAUUAAUCUGCAGCUGUAAUUUGGGGAACGCGUUUCCUUAAAUUAAAACGUCUUCUGCAUUUUUAUUUUCUUCUCUCUCUGCUCUCGCCGCUCAGACGCUCUCUGCUCGGUCUCUCUCUGAUUUUCUCUGCAACACAAGUGCUUAGUUCUGCUAGCGAAGAACUAAUCGCUCGACACGAACACUAAGUGUGGACUUGAUAGAGGGGAUACGCUUGGAUCCCUGCGAGCAACCGAUUGCUUCCAUUCCCG
rnacentral:lncRNA from 1 species